GACGAACGUUGGCGGCGUGCUUAACACAUGCAAGUCGAACGGAAAGGCCCUGCUUUUGUGGGGUGCUCGAGUGGCGAACGGGUGAGUAACACGUGAGUAACCUGCCCUUGACUUUGGGAUAACUUCAGGAAACUGGGGCUAAUACCGGAUAGGAGCUCCUGCUGCAUGGUGGGGGUUGGAAAGUUUCGGCGGUUGGGGAUGGACUCGCGGCUUAUCAGCUUGUUGGUGGGGUAGUGGCUUACCAAGGCUUUGACGGGUAGCCGGCCUGAGAGGGUGACCGGCCACAUUGGUACUGCGGUACGGCCCAGACUCCUACGGGAGGCAGCAGUGGAGAAUAUUGCGCAAUGGGCGGAAGCCUGAUACAACAACGCCGCGUGCGGGAUGACGGCCUUCGAGUUAUAAACCGCUUUCGCCUGUGACGAAGCGUGAGUGACGGUAAUGGGUAAGGAAGCACCGGCUAACUACGUG
rnacentral:rRNA from 1 species